CAUUCGUUAUGCUUUGAAUGAAAAACCCUUUAAUCCAGAUCUGGUUGCCAACUUAAUCCAGCUUAGGAAAGCAUCAUUGUUGGAGGACUCCCGGGUUGCUGAAAUCUUGAAUGACAUUUCAAGGCGGAUUGUCAAGGAAAAGGUCCUGUAGUCAUGGAAAUGGCUGGGUAUACUGAAAAAGGAUUUAAGAGAAAGCUUGCUGUGCAGACCCUUUCGGCAAGGUGUAUUAUUUGUCUGAGCUGCCAGAGUUCUGUUCGAGGGAUAGCUCCUUGGUUGUCAAGGAGAUAUUUGGGGCUACAGAUGAAGAUGCUGACAAACUUCGGCUGCACACUCUUUCUGAAGCUGGUGAUAUGGGUUCACUUGAGAAGAUGGUUGA